GGGUAUACAAGUGACAGGCAGCGAGCAAUGUCACACGAGGAUCAAAUGGCUCAGAAUCACAGGGAAAUAUAGGUCACAAACCUAGAUGGCAAUGUCCUCGGCACAAGCCUACAUAUACUAUUAAAUUUACAGAGACAGACUAGAUCAUGCACUGAUUAAAAAAAUAAUAAAAAAAGGCCUAUUGUUUUUUUUAUAAUGACAACAGGUCUAAGUCGUAUCCUGCAUAGAUGAUAC
rnacentral:misc_RNA from 1 species